CCAUCUUGGAGGCUGAGGAGAAAUUCCUGCAAGGACCUGUCAUUGACACAAGUGAGCGGAGCACUUUGACAGCAGAAUAAAAAAACUCUUAAAGAAGAGUGGAAAACCAUAGGAGAGUGAUGGAGUUAAUAAAAAAAUUGUGAACCACAAACAA